rnacentral:rRNA from 1 species
AACGCUGGCGGCAGGCCUAACACAUGCAAGUCGAGCGGUAGCACAGGGAGCUUGCUCCUGGGUGACGAGCGGCGGACGGGUGAGUAAUGUCUGGGAAACUGCCUGAUGGAGGGGGAUAACUACUGGAAACGGUAGCUAAUACCGCAUAACGUCUUCGGACCAAAGAGGGGGACCUUCGGGCCUCUUGCCAUCAGAUGUGCCCAGAUGGGAUUAGCUAGUAGGUGAGGUAAUGGCUCACCUAGGCGACGAUCCCUAGCUGGUCUGAGAGGAUGACCAGCCACACUGGAACUGAGACACGGUCCAGACUCCUACGGGAGGCAGCAGUGGGGAAUAUUGCACAAUGGGCGCAAGCCUGAUGCAGCCAUGCCGCGUGUAUGAAGAAGGCCUUCGGGUUGUAAAGUACUUUCAGCGAGGAGGAAGGCAUUGUGGUUAAUAACCGCAGUGAUUGACGUUACUCGCAGAAGAAGCACCGGCUAACUCCGUGCCAGCAGCCGCGGUAAUACGGAGGGUGCAAGCGUUAAUCGGAAUUACUGGGCGUAAAGCGCACGCAGGCGGUCUGUCAAGUCGGAUGUGAAAUCCCCGGGCUCAACCUGGGAACUGCAUUCGAAACUGGCAGGCUAGAGUCUUGUAGAGGGGGGUAGAAUUCCAGGUGUAGCGGUGAAAUGCGUAGAGAUCUGGAGGAAUACCGGUGGCGAAGGCGGCCCCCUGGACAAAGACUGACGCUCA